CUAGAACCCAAGCCCCAAGAGAUCAGGGAAUCUUCUCUCAGUUCCUGCUCCACCCAGGGUUUCAACAGUGCCUGGCACACAGUGCCGGCGCUGCUCCUGCCGCUGGUCCAGGGCCUGCUUGGCCUUCCAGAGGAGCACGCAGAGCGAGAGGAAGAGGAAGAAGCAGGAGAAGAAGACGGAGAAGAAGACAAA